UACGGAAGGUCCAGGCGUUAUCCGGAUUUAUUGGGGUAGGCUGGAGAUUAAGUGUGUUGUGAAAUGUAGACGCUCAACGUCUGAAUUGCAGCGCAUACUGGUUUCCUUGAGUACGCACAACGUUGGCGGAAUUCGUCGUGUAGCGGUGAAAUGCUUAGAUAUGACGAAGAACUCCGAUUGCGAAGGCAGCUGACGGGAGCGCAACUGACGCUUAAGCUCGAAGGUGCGGGUAUCAAACAGG
rnacentral:rRNA from 1 species